GACGAACGCUGGCGGCGUGCUUAACACAUGCAAGUCGAGCGAGGCCCUCCUUCGGGAGGUGUCCUAGCGGCGAACGGGUGAGUAACACGUGGGCAACCUGCCCCCGGCUCUGGGAUAACUCCAAGAAAUUGGGGCUAAUACCGGAUAUUCAUCGCUGUCCGCAUGGGCGGUGGUGGAAAGACUUAUCGGCUGGGGAUGGGCCCGCGGCCUAUCAGCUUGUUGGUGGGGUAGUGGCCUACCAAGGCGACGACGGGUAGCCGGCCUGAGAGGGUGACCGGCCACACUGGGACUGAGACACGGCCCAGACUCCUACGGGAGGCAGCAGUGGGGAAUAUUGCGCAAUGGGCGAAAGCCUGACGCAGCGACGCCGCGUGGGGGAUGACGGCCUUCGGGUUGUAAACCUCUUUCAGCUCCGACGAAGCGCAAGUGACGGUAGGAGCAGAAGAAGCACCGGCCAACUACGUGCCAGCCGCCGCAGUAAUAC
rnacentral:rRNA from 1 species